CAAUGCCAGGAAAGGGGGGUCUCCUCUGGGAGCAUCCCAUGGGAUAAACACCCAACCCUUCCCUAAGCUGCCAAAAAAUCAACCCACCUUGGCUUCCCAAAUUCCCUCUCCCCGUGCAGGAUUUCGGGAGCCUCCGUUGGCAAAGCCGCCCCGUUGAGCAAGAGGGGCCUGACGAGAAUUCCAGGCCGGAGCUUCCCGCAGGGAGCAAAGGGCAGCGGGAGCGUGGCCCUGCCUGCCCAACCCCUCCCGGGGAUUUUGGGACAGUGGAGGGAGGAGGAGGAGGGACAAGAGGAUACCUGGGUGUCCCUCGAGCUUCCUGGGCUCCUUCCUGGGCCAUGGCGGCCACCACGGUGACGGAAUCCAGUGGCGUGAGGAUCAUCACGGAGGUGAUCCCGGCCACGGAUCCGCGGGCGGCACAGCUGGCGUUGGGAUCCGGGGAAGCUGCGCCUGCCAGGACAUCGCUCCCAGUCCAAGGCUUCCGGAGGGCUCAUCCCAAGGUGUUGGGGACCAUCCACAUCUUCACCGGGAUCAUCCACAUCUUAUUCGGGAUCAUCCUGACAGCGUCGGAGCAUGGAAACCCUUCCCUGCCUGUGGCCAGCGGGAUCUUCUUCUGGCUCGGGGUCCUGCUCCUGGCCUCGGGAUCUUUGCUAGUUGAAAGUGAAAAGAGAGACAACCUUGUGCUGGUGCGGACCUGCUGCGUGCUCAACGCGGGCGUCGCCCUCGGGGCGCUGGUGGCCACCGCGGUGCACGGCACGGCCAUCACGCGGCUCCCGCCUGGCUGCGAGCGCCGCCGUGCCCUCCACAUCCCACCGAAUGGUGCCUCAGCGCCCACAGCAAGGUACCCACACCGGCCCUCGGGCACGGGGCUCCGGGAGGGAUGGACGAGCCUCCUGGUCCUGCUCAGGUGGGGUGUCCAGGGAUCCUGGUCCUGCUCAGGUGGUGGGUUGGAACCUCCUGAUCCCACUCGGGUGAGGUGUCCAAGGCUUCUGGUCCCGGCUCGGUUGGGAUGGAGGCUCCAGGUGGGGUGUCCGAGGCUCCUGGGUCCAGCUCAGGACCAGAACCUCCUGCUCCCGCGGUCGGGCGGAGGAUCCCAGCGCUGCUCCAGGACCUUCCUGCUCUCUCCCCAUCCCGGCAGAUCCUGAGCAACGGGCUGGAUUCCACCUUCGUGCUCCUCAGCCUCCUGGAAUUCUGCGUGGCCGUGGCGGCCCUGGCGUUCGGAUACGAGGCCGCCCGGCAGCACAGCUACACCCACAUGGUGAGGGGGGGAUCGGGAUGCACCCCCAGAUUCCUUGGGAAUCCCUGGAAUGCUGGUCCCACCUCCUCCUUGGGACACCUUGGAGA
rnacentral:lncRNA from 1 species